rnacentral:rRNA from 1 species
UACAGAGGGUGCGAGCGUUAAUCGGAAUUACUGGGCGUAAAGCGCACGUAGGUGGCGACGUAAGUCGGGUGUGAAAGCCCCGGGCUCAACCUGGGAAUUGCAUUCGAGACUGCAUUGCUGGAGUACGGAAGAGGAAGGCGGAAUUCCCGGUGUAGCGGUGAAAUGCGUAGAUAUCGAGAGGAACACCUGCGGCGAAGGCGGGUUGCUGGGCCGACACUGACGCUGAUGCGCGAAAGCCAGGGGAGCGAACGGG